ACGAACGCUGGCGGCGUGCUUAACCCAUGCCAGUCGCACGCUGAAGCCAGCUUGCUGGUGGAUUAGUGGCGAACGGGUGAGUAACACGUGGGUGAUCUGCCCCAAACUUUGGGAUAAGCCUGGGAAACUGGGUCUAAUACCGAAUAUGACCGAUACUCGCAUGGGUGUUGGUGGAAAGCUCCGGCGGUUUGGGAUGGGCCCGCGGCCUAUCAGCUUGUUGGUGGGGUAAUGGCCUACCAAGGCGACGACGGGUAGCCGGCCUGAGAGGGCGACCGGCCACACCGGGACUGAGACACGGCCCAGACUCCUAUGGGAGGCAGCAGUGGGGAAUAUUGCACAAUGGGCGCAAGCCUGAUGCAGCGACGCCGCGUGAGGGAUGACGGCCUUCGGGUUGUAAACCUCUUUCACCAGGGACGAAGCGAAAGUGACGGUACCUGGAGAAGAAGCACCGGCCAACUACGUG
rnacentral:rRNA from 1 species